rnacentral:tRNA from 1 species
AAACAAGAAGCAACUACUGCGGUCCGGUUUCGGCCCGGUCAGAGAAGAUAUAACUUCCUUGUUUU